rnacentral:lncRNA from 1 species
AUUAAGCCAAUUAUCAAUUGAUGAACAAUGAUCCACGAGUGGAUCACAACCGUUCAAUUACAGCAAUAUAUCAAAAUUUGAAUACAUUCAACUUCUUCACAAUUUAGUUGUGAACAAAAUAGAAUGGAAAUUUAUCAUUUGCGAGGCUUGCAGAGAGAGAGAGAGAGAGUAAAUACUAUAAAGAGGAAUUGUCAUUACAAUUUCAUCAUGUUGCAUCUGCAGUGUGGACCGGAAGCAAAAAUUUACUUUGCAUGGUGUGCAAUACCAAAACUUGGUAAUGCCAUUGCUCAACUAAAACAGAAAUUUCAAGCAUGUGAAGGCAUUGUGUUCAUGACUAACCUCAUCAAUUUUCUAUCAUUUUCAUAAACAGGCAUAAAACACGGGAUUCCCUGCCAAACUGAAAUUUACUUUACAGGAGGGUUUUAUAUUCAAUAACGCAAAAGACUAAAUAUAGCAUCUCUCUUCAUCAGUCUACCUUUCCCAAAUGCAGUCUAAUGAAUAAACUGCAAACCCA